GACGAACCGAGCGAACGUUAUUCGGAAUCACUGGGCUUAAAGGGCGCGUAGGCGGGCGGCCAAGUCAGGGGUGAAAGCCCCCAGCUCAACUGGGGAAGUGCCUUUGAUACUGGCGGUCUCGAGGGGAUAGGGGCGUGCGGAACUUCCGGUGGAGCGGUGAAAUGCGUAGAUAUCGGAAGGAACACCGGUGGCGAAAGCGGCGCGCUGGAUCCCUUCUGACGCUGAGGCGCGAAAGCCAGGGGAG
rnacentral:rRNA from 1 species